GAUGAAGAACGUAGCGAAAUGCGAUACUUGGUGUGAAUUGCAGAAUCCCGUGAACCAUCGAGUCUUUGAACGCAAGUUGCGCCUCAAGCCAUUAGGUUGAGGGCACGUCUGCCUGGGCGUCACAUAUCGUUGCCUGAUGCCAGUUUCCUCGUGAUGGGUGACUGUGCAGGGCGAAUGAUGGCUUCCCGUGAGCAUUGUUGCCUCAUGGUUGGUUGAAAAUUGAGUCCUUGGUAGGGAGCGCCGUGAUAGAUGGUGGUUGAGUGACGAACGAGACCCAAUCAUGUGAGACCCCUACCGAAUUUGGCCUUCAUGCCCAACAUGCGUCUUUGGAACGCUCAUGACGAGACCUCAGGUCAGGCGGGGCUACCCGCUGAGUUUAAGCAUAUCAAUAAGCGGAGGA
rnacentral:misc_RNA from 1 species